rnacentral:rRNA from 1 species
UUUUUCAGGGAGCCUUACACAUGCAAGUCGACGGAAUCUUCGGAUUUAGUGGCGGACGGGUGAGUAACGCGUGAGAAUCUAGCUCUAGGUCGGGGACAACCACUGGAAACGGUGGCUAAUACCGGAUGUGCCGAAAGGUGAAAGAUUUAUUGCCUAGAGAUGAGCUCGCGUCUGAUUAGCUAGUUGGUGUGGUAAGAGCGCACCAAGGCGACGAUCAGUAGCUGGUCUGAGAGGAUGAUCAGCCACACUGGGACUGAGACACGGCCCAGACUCCUACGGGAGGCAGCAGUGGGGAAUUUUCCGCAAUGGGCGAAAGCCUGACGGAGCAAUACCGCGUGAGGGAGGAAGGCUCUUGGGUUGUAAACCUCUUUUCUCAGGGAAUAAGAAAGUGAAGGUACCUGAGGAAUAAGCAUCGGCUAACUCCGUGCCAGCAGCCGCGGUAAUACGGAGGAUGCAAGCGUUAUCCGGAAUGAUUGGGCGUAAAGCGUCCGCAGGUGGCACUGUAAGUCUGCUGUUAAAGAGCAAGGCUCAACCUUGUAAAGGCAGUGGAAACUACAGAGCUAGAGUACGUUCGGGGCAGAGGGAAUUCCUGGUGUAGCGGUGAAAUGCGUAGAAAU